rnacentral:RNase_P_RNA from 1 species
GGGAGAGAGAGCCCGGCUGCCGCGAUGGUCUCGCUGGCAACGGCGCGGCCACCAGGUACCGUAGGUGCCCCUUCUGGGGAGCCUACUGUCCGCGAGGAAAGUCCCCCCACCUGUUUGGGCAGGUGACCGGGCGCAAGUCCGGAGCGGGAGACCGCUGGCUCUGGAACAGAAACGACACGUCUCGGCCCGACCGAUGACGCGUGCGAACCCGACCGCGAGGAAGGGGAGCUAACCCGCAGAGGGAUCGGGUGACUCAGCGUGCGUAUGACGUGAGUCGCCGAGCAGGCAGGUCGACCGAUCACGGUUCGAAUCCGUCGAUCGACCACCUCUAGACGGCCGAGGAACGAUGGAACGGCGAAUCCUCACCGGUGCAAGUCCACACCGUGGUAGCCUGAACACCCCACGGCGAAGCCGUGGACGGUGUGGAUGCUCAGCCGAAUGCCGGGCCGAACAGAAGGGGGCUUACUCCUCUCACCC